CUAAGAGGUGGAAACUCUUGAUUUGCUGCUGUGACAAAGGGUUAAUUGUGCUAAUUGCAUUGUAAUACCUGCUCAGUUUAAAGUCUUUCCCUGUUGUGAUUGUCUUGGGAGUCAAAUUGUUUUUAAAUUGGUUUGUCACUUGAAUGCAUUUGGAACUUUGUGAUUAGGGUUGUGGAAACCAAGAUAAUGUCUAAGUUAUAUAACAGUUCUUUCCAUAAUCAAUCACUGUCUAGUUUUAGAUCUACCUAAGAAGGUUCUUGCACACAUGGGAAUAAGCUGACUGAGGUAAUAGAUGAGUUCCAACUCACUGAUACUUUCUCUGCUCAGAAGGCAGACCCAAAAUGAAUCUGCUCAUGCCUGACACAGGAACUUGUUGUGUUACUUCCCACAAAGAGCCUCGUGGAUCCAUCUUGUUUGCAGCAGCUGGAGAGGAAAUCCCUGCUGGAGGGAUUCAGCCUCCUCUUUGCUGGAAGCCAUUCCCUGCACCAGCAGGGAGCAAGCACGAACACAGCGGAGGUUGA
rnacentral:lncRNA from 1 species